AUCUACCCUUAUCUAGCUGUGUGUUUUGUCUGCCUGUCACUAGACCUCCCCAUGCUGGAGACGAGCAGCUUUUAAUGCGGGCUCCAGCUUUGGUUACCUUGGUGUACAUCUUUCUGAGGACCUUACAUAGAGCCACAACACUGGACCCCUGGUUAAGACGGUACUGUCUCAGGAGGCUGAUGCACACCAGAUGGUUGGUGGAGAGGAUCCUGUCCUGUCUGGCAUGGUAGCUACUAUGUGGUAGAGAAGAAGGCUAAGUUGAGGGUGGUGACAGCAACAUGAAGGACGUUGGCAGCAGCCUCCCCACCAUCACAGACAUCUACAGCAGCUUCCUGUAUCUUGAAAGAUGCUCCUCACCCAGAAUACACACCUGUCCCCUCCCAUCAAGUAGGAGGCUGUGAAGCAUCAGGAGCAAAACUCGGAUUUUUCCUUGUUUUGUUACUCAUGUUAUUUUGUACUUUGUUUUAUUUUAAGCAAACCACCUUUAGUUUAUUUUUAGUUUCUGAGUCCCGUUGUUUGGGUCCUACUCCAGCCUGCAACACAGCCACGCUCACAAAUAUGAUAUGGACUAAGCAGACUCAUGUUUGGCUUCAGAGGAAAUGUUUGCCCAGCUUCUGGAAUACUGCCAGGGUGUAGUUAAUGCUAAAGACAUUUACAACCUGUUCCCGGACAUUUCCCAACAUGGAAUGUUUGGCACAAACUGUAGCCAAGCUGUGAGCCAACCUCCUUCAUAACCUGUUUGAUAAAUUCUUGAGCUAAAAUGCCCAGCGACUGUAAGUCUGGCCAGGACAUCCCCAGAGACAGGGCUAGAGCCCCCAGUUAACUCUGGCCCCCUGGAGAAUCCAUAGCCAGAACAGCCACAGCCCCUGUCCCAAGGUAAGCUCGCUGGGUUCUCUGCUGAGCCGCCCCAAGCCACAGGUGCGCCUCCUUCGCCAUCACCAUUGCAGGCUGCCAUCCAAGCCACUUGAGGAUCUCCGUCACCAUCAUCAGCCACUGGCCUCCACAGUUACUCCGUCUCUGCUGAUGGCCACUCAGCAAACCUCCAGAGUUUCUCCAUCUCAGCUGUUGGCCUCCUGGCAGACCCCCUGAACUGUGUUGCGAGCAGUCCCUGCCUCUGAACCGAGCCAGUGUUCAAGCUGACUCUGAUCUGCUCUGCCUUCUCUGUUUAGCUCCAUGGGCCAGGCCCCUGGACUGUAUUUCCUGUUUUAUUUGAGCUCAGAGACUCUGUUUGUUUUGAUUUUAUUCCCAGUACACCCCCAAACCAUCAGAGAUGCAACCCUUCGAACUGAGCACUGAUAACAAGAUGGUCCUCUUUUCUGUAGUCUGGAGCAUGCAGCAUCCAUGUUUCCCCUCCCCCAAAUUAGAUUUGUCUGACCGCAGAACUCUUUUCUUCUUUGCCUCCGUCCAUUUUAAAUGAGCUUUGGCCCAAAGAAGACAGCAGUAUAUAUAGUACACAUGCUGCCUGUUUCAGUUGCUCCUGCUUUUUUCUCCACACUUUAACUUUUCUUUCUCUUUUACUUAUUAUUUGGAGUGCUAAUUUGUUUAUGUUUUUCUCUUUUACGUAAUUUCCUCAGGG
ensembl:lncRNA